GGAUAACCGCUGAAAGCAUCUAAGUGGGAAGCCCACCUUAAGAUGAGUGUUCUCACUACGAGAGUAGGUAAGGUCACGGGGAGAACACCCGUUAAUAGGCUUUAUGUGGAAGUACAGUAAUGUAUGUAGCAGAGAAGUCCUAACAGACCGAGGGCUUGACCUCAG
rnacentral:rRNA from 1 species